UAGAAAUGAACUGAACACUUCUUGGUUUCAUUGUAUUUCCUUGGAGAGUAAUCAACACUUGCUAUAAGUGGGGCUUCCUUUUCAGUUGUCCGCUCGUGAUGGUCAAGGAGCACUGGAUAAAGUGCUUUUGCAGUGGGCAGCCAAUUCUUUUAAAUCUGAACUGGUGGAUACUGAAAAUGAGCACUUCCAGAAACUUCAGUUUCUGGUAACAAGCUAUCAAGAGCUUCGUAUGGAUCACAGUUCGCAAGAGAUGAAAGAACAAUGGCAUUUAAAUAAAGCAUUACAGGGAAGUUAUCAUGCGGAAGGCUUAAAGACAUGGUUUCCAGAGAUGUCCUGUUUCUUGAUGCCUCAACCAAAACUCAAAGUGGCAACAAAUCCAGAAUUCGAUGGAAAAUUAUCAGAAGCUGGAUCGUCUUCUGGUAAUAGCGGAAGGACAGAAGCCCUAGCUGUUGUUUCCCCUGGACUGUGGCCUGAGGCUACAUAAACCAGAUUCAUUUCCUGUAGUGUCAAACCCACGCUUGUCACAUGAUGCACGUCAAUUCUGUUUUUCUAUAAUCCAUGGUGGAAUUUUAUACUGGAUGUUUAAGUCGCCAUAUUUUUAAAGGAUUUUCUGUUUCUCAUAUGAUUCAUUUCUCCAUUCCCAGCAGUUACUAUGUCAUUGAAAAUAAUAUAAAAUUACUAUUCAAAAUCUUUUGUCCUCCCUUAUCUCCAAAGCUUGCAUCAGAUAAAAACUGCCAAUCUCUCACGAAGAACUGCAGUUUCUGGAAGGGUUUGUGCUCCGAAUCCUCCAGUACUAACUUACCAUAUUCAAUGAACAACUGAAAAAGAAACCCCACCUAUAUCUCAGUGUGUUUUUCUACUUAUGAAACAUGGAACUGAAAACACUGGCCAAAAGAGAAUGAAUAUCCUGAAUAUAUGAGAAAUAAAGAAAGUGGUUGGAUGUCAGGGUCCUACUUUAAAUGUAAUCAGCAGAAAUAUCCUUAUGGGGUGCAGUUAACUGCACACAAUAUUAGCAGGGUUAGGCACUUUAAAAUUAUAGUGUUUACGUUGUGUGUGAUGUCAUUAUAGCAAACCUGUAAUGCUUUAUUCAAAUGGCAUUGUCCUUUCAUCUCAUCCGAACGGUAAUCCAUAUGAAGCUCUUUAUAGUUUGUUACCAGAAACUGAAGUUUCUGGAAGUGCUUAUUUUCCGCAUCUACCAGUUCAGAUGUAAAAUAAUUGGCUGCCCACUCCAAAAGCACUUUAUGCAGUGCUUCUUGACCAUCACGAGCGGACAACUGAAAAGGAAGCCCCACUUAUAGCAAGUGUUGAUUACAUGUCCA